CCUACGGGGGGCAGCAGUGAGGAAUAUUGGUCAAUGGACGAGAGUCUGAACCAGCCAAGUAGCGUGAAGGAUGACUGCCCUAUGGGUUGUAAACUUCUUUUAUAUGGGAAUAAAACGUUCCACGUGUGGGAUUUUGUAUGUACCAUAUGAAUAAGGAUCGGCUAACUCCGUGCCAGCAGCCGCGGUAAUACGGAGGAUCCGAGCGUUAUCCGGAUUUAUUGGGUUUAAAGGGAGCGUAGGUGGAUUGUUAAGUCAGUUGUGAAAGUUUGCGGCUCAACCGUAAAAUUGCAGUUGAAACUGGCAGUCUUGAGUACAGUAGAGGUGGGCGGAAUUCGUGGUGUAGCGGUGAAAUGCUUAGAUAUCACGAAGAACGCCGAUUGCGAAGGCAGUUCACUGGACUGCAACUGACACUGAGGCUCGAAAGUGUGGGUAUCAAACAGGAUUAGAUACCCCUGUAGUC
rnacentral:rRNA from 1 species